UUUAUUAGCCAUAUCACCCUGCAGCUUAAGACCAGUAACUCACUGAAGCUAAGUAGGACUGAGCUUGGUUAGUGCCUGUAUAGGAGACCACAUGGGAAAACUAGGUUGCUGUAGGGA
rfam:Danio rerio chromosome 12, GRCz11 reference primary assembly.